UAUUGCAGGGACGCCUC
rnacentral:misc_RNA from 1 species